AAAAACAGACAGAGGGCAAAAAAACAGAAAAAGAGGUAGAAACAAUGAAGAGAUAGAUGGAGGAAGAGAAGAGCAGCACUCACUGGAAGGGUUGGAGGUGGUGUUGGUAGAGCUGAAUGUGGGAGAGGAGGAGGUGCCAUUAACAGGAGGAGG